rfam:Ixodes scapularis strain Wikel colony gcontig_1108378990818, whole genome shotgun sequence.
GCAGUCGUGGCCGAGUGGUUAAGGCGAUGGUCUAGAAAUCCGUUGGGGUCUCCCCGCGCAUUUUCGAAUCCUGUCGACUGCG